rnacentral:ncRNA from 1 species
GAGAGAACUUGCUUCCUUUUGCUCCUCUCUGGCACCAAGAACAUGUGCCAGGCAAGACCUGCAGCAGGUAGGGUGCUUGACUGAGGGAGUACAGCUGUCAAAGCCUAACACAGGUGUCCUGAUGAGCUCAGGGAACAGAAACGUCCCAAGGAGUAGAAGGGCAAAAACUCACUUGGUGUCAAUUUUCAGUAUGAAUACAGACCGUGAAAGCGGGGCCUCACGAUUCUUCUGACUUUUGGGGUUUUAAGCAGAAGGUGUCAGAAAAUUGACCACAGGGAUAACUGGCUUGUGGCAGCCAAGUGUUCACAGUCACAUUUUGAUCCUUCAAUCUCAGCUCUUCCAGUCAUUGUGAAGCAGAAUUCAUCAGGCACUGGAUUGCUCACUCAUAACAGGGGAUAUGAGCUGGGAUUAGGCUGUUGUGAGACAGGUUAGUUUUACC